rnacentral:lncRNA from 1 species
AGAACAAGAAAAGGCUCUGAAACAGAUCCAAGAUGUUGUUUGAGCCAUGCAACUAGAAGAUCUCAUAGAACUAAAGUUAUCUAAUUUACAGAAAAGGUUUUACGUGACGUCUAUUGUACAGAUUCAUAUGAAAACCAUAGUUCAAACUCCAAGGUUUAAGAAGUAAGAAAGAUCAUGCCAUUUGCAACAAACAUGCAUGCAUAUUUGAAAAGCAACUAUCUGUUGUGGGAAAACUAGAAGACCAAAAAAAGCACGAAAGUCAAGAAAGAAGUCUCUUUUCACAUGAAAGUGGCUGUGCUAAUGGUCUAUCAAGAUAUCCUGAGUUUCCAGUAGAGAUGUUUCAGCCAUAACACAGGCCUGGUAGAAAAAGCCUGAAGACAAAUACUGCUAUGAAUGGUUACAUCUAGGACUUCUGAAAUUAGCCCCAGAUUCAACUCAUUUUUUUCUGCAUUUGCUGAGCAAUAUGACAUGUUUACACCGAUUAGCUAAAAAGUUAUGUGAAGAAUGGGCAACAAUAUCUCUAAGGCAAGAUAUGUUCAGAUCCAAUAUAGUUCAUAUAGACCUUGUCAGAGUAAAUGACCAUGUGCCUUUCAGAACACUAAAGAAUAAAAUCCUUCCACAUUAGAAUGACAAA